AUGGCCAUGGCAUUUCGCCUCAUUAUACUCGCGCUAGUACCGCUGCUGGCCACCGUGCUCGCUGCUCCUUCCCUUCCUAGCAGCAAUGACACUGACCUCGACGCGCUGCUUGCGUUCAAGGGGCAGCUGUCCGACCCACUUGGCGUCCUCCGCAACAGCUGGACCACCAAUGCGUCGUUCUGCCGCUGGGUCGGCGUGUCAUGCGGCCGGCGCCAACGCCAUCGCGUCACCGCCCUGGAGUUGCCAGGCGUGCCCCUCCAUGGUCAGCUCGCCCCUCACCUUGGAAACCUCUCCUUCCUCUCUGUUCUCAACCUCACCAACUCCAACCUCGUCGGCUCCAUCCCCGCCGACCUCGGCCGGCUGCGUCGCCUUAGGCGGCUCAAUCUUGCACACAACAGCUUGUCUCAGUCCAUUCCAUCUACCUUUGGGAACCUUACAGGUCUCCAAGUUCUUGAUGUGGGCGGCAACAUGCUGUCUGGUCAAAUCCCAAUGGAGAUGCAAGGAUUGCGCAACCUUGCCUACAUAGCUCUGCAUGCCAACUACUUGAGUGGUCCGAUACCUGCUCAUCUGUUCAACAACACACCUCUGCUAAGCUAUGUCUCCUUUGGGAACAACAGUCUGUCUGGGUCGAUACCUGACAGCGUCGGCUCCUUGCCCAUGCUUGAUUUCCUUGGCCUGCAGCGAAACCAGCUCUCUGGACCAGUUCCCUCGGCCAUUUUCAAUAUGUCUAGACUUAGGAUGCUGUAUAUGGCCAGUAACAAUCUGACUGGCCCUGUUCCUGGCAGCAAUGGCAGCCUUAGUCUCCCCAUGUUGCAAGUAAUAUCCCUCUCUCAGAACUACUUCACAGGUCCGAUUCCUUCAGGCCUUGCUUCGUGCAAGAACAUCAGGAUCAUCUCUCUGUCUCAGAAUUUCUUUACGGGUCCUGUGCCGGCAUGGCUGGGUGAGCUGCCGUUCCUUACCGGCCUUUUAGCUGGGGGGAACGAACUUGUUGGACAAAUCCCUCGUGUUCUUGGGAAUCUUACCAUGCUCACCAGGCUUGACCUCUCAUUCUGCAAGCUGAAUGGAGAGAUCCCAAUUGAAUUGAGCAAGUUGACACAGCUCAAUAUUUUGGAGCUUUCAUCUAAUGGACUCACAGGUUCUUUUCCUGCUUUUCUUGGCAACUUGACAUCAUUAACCGCAAUAGGGUUGGCCCUCAAUCUACUGACCGGGUCAGUACCAGCAACACUUGGGAAUAUGAGAUCACUACAACUCCUCGAUCUUGGAUCAAACCGCUUCCAAGGGGAGCUUGGCUUCUUGGAUGGUCUCUCGAAUUGCAGGGAGCUCCGUCUCAUAAAUUUGCAGGUGAAUGAUUUCAGUGGAGGCCUUCCUGACUAUACUGGAAACCUCUCCAAGAAGCUUGUGAUUUUUGAUGCAACUGGCAACAAGUUGACAGGAGGAAUUCCAUCGACAAUAUCAAAUCUAAGUGGUGUCAGCUCGUUGAUCCUUAUGAACAACCAACUAAGCCAGUCGAUCCCAGAAUCCAUCACGACUAUGGAGAACCUUGAGAGGAUUGACAUCUCAGGGAAUAGCUUUGUUGGUCCCAUCCCGGCGCGAAUUGGUAUGCUCAAGAGACUGGUACAAUUAUUUCUCUACAACAACAAAUUCUCUGGUUCUAUACCAGAUGGCCUUGGUAAUCUCACUUUGUUGGAAUACAUUUCCUUGUCUUAUAACAAUCUGUCCUCACAUGUGCCAGCAAGCUUGUUUCUUCUUAAUAACCUUGUUGAACUGAAUCUGUCCCAUAACUCGCUGACUGGUGCAUUACCUUUUGAUCUCGGCCACAUGAAGCAGAUUAACAAAGUAGAUCUCUCCAACAACAACUUGGUUGGCAGCCUUCCAGAUUCCUUUGGACAGCUCCGGAUGCUAACUUACCUAAGCCUGUCUCACAACUCAUUUCAAAAUUCUAUUCCAUACAGUUUUCGCAAUUUAAUUAGCUUAGGAACACUGGACCUAUCUUCCAACAACUUCUCGGGUACCAUCCCAAAGUACUUGUCAAACUUAACCUACCUGACAAGCCUGAACCUGUCCUUCAAUGAGUUACAAGGUUCAAUACCAGAUGAAGGUGUUUUCAGAAACAUCACCUUGCAAUCUCUGAUAGGAAACUUUGGUCUGUGCGGUGCUCCCCGUUUAGGGUUUUUGCCAUGCCUGGAUACCUCUCACUCUGAUAAUAAUGGACAUUUACUAAAAAUCCUACUACCUUCUUUUGCUUUAACAUUGGCGGCUAUAGCUAUUUGCUUAUACCUGCUGAUAAGAAGGAACAGUCUGAAGCAGGGAGAGGUAACACCUGCUGCUGAUGGAGUUGAUCCAAUCAGCCAUAGGCUAGUGUCCUACCAUGAGGUUGCUCGUGCCACUGAAAAUUUCAAUGAGGACAACCUACUUGGAGUUGGAAGUUUCGGAAAAGUUUUCAAGGGCCAACUGGACGAUGGUUUGGUGGUGGCGAUAAAAGUGCUCAACAUGCAAUUCGAGCAGGCCGUGAGGAGCUUUGAUGCUGAAUGUCAAGUGUUGCGGAUGGCCCGGCAUCGCAACUUGAUACGGAUAUUGAAUACCUGUUCCAACCUGGAUUUUAGAGCACUGCUGCUUCAGUACAUGCCCAAUGGUAGCUUGGAGACGCACUUGCACACUGAAAAUAGUGAACCACUAGGAUUCAUCAAGAGACUGGACAUUAUGCUUGGCGUGUCGGAGGCAAUGGAGUACCUGCACCAUCAUCACUGUCAGGUUGUCCUACACCGCGACCUGAAGCCUAGCAAUGUGCUGUUUGAUGAGGACAUGACGGCGCAUGUUGCCGACUUUGGCAUUGCGAAGUUAGUAGGCGAUGACACCUCCAUGGUCUCAGCGAGUAUGGCAGGGACGAUUGGGUACAUGGCCCCAGAGCUUGCGUACAUGGGGAAGGCGUCACGGAAGAGCGACGUGUUCAGCUUUGGGAUCAUGCUGCUCGAAGUCUUCACCGGCAAGAGGCCCACAAACCCCAUGUUCCUUGGAGAAUCCAGCCUCAGGCAGUGGGUUUCGCGAGCAUUCCCAGCAAGGCUCGUCGAUGUUGUUGACGAGAAGCUGCUGCAAGGUGAAGAGAUGAAUACUACUACAUCGGCAUUGGCUUCCACUGCCUGCAAGGGCGACUUUCUUGUGUCGACAUUCGAGCUGGGUCUGGACUGUUCGGCCGACUCUAACGAGCAGAGGCCGAGCAUGAGCGAUGUGGUCGCUAGGCUGAGGAACAUCAAGAAGGAUUGCUCUGCUUCCGUGGCAGCGAAGAAAGGGUCUCAGCAGCAUUGA
rnacentral:rRNA from 1 species